rnacentral:rRNA from 1 species
CUAACAGGAUUCCCCUAGUAACUGCGAGUGAAGCGGGAAGAGCUCAAAUUUAAAAUCUGGCGGCCUCUGGUCGUCCGAGUUGUAGUCUGGAGAAGCGUUUUCCGUGUUGGACCGUGUAUAAGUCUCUUGGAACAGGGCGUCAUAGAGGGUGAGAAUCCCGUCUUUGACACGGACUACCAAUGCUUUGUGAUGCGCUCUCAAAGAGUCGAGUUGUUUGGGAAUGCAGCUCAAAAUGGGUGGUAAAUUCCAUCUAAAGCUAAAUAUAGGCGAGAGACCGAUAGCGAACAAGUACCGUGAGGGAAAGAUGAAAAGCACUUUGGAAAGAGAGUUAAACAGUACGUGAAAUUGCUGAAAGGGAAACGCUUGAAGUCAGUCGCGUCUGCCAGGACUCAGCCUCGCUUCUGCUUGGUGCACUUUCUGGUUGGAUGGGCCAACAUCAAUUUUGACCGUUGGAGAAAGGCUUUGGGAAUGUGGCACCUUCGGGUGUGUUAUAGCCCUUUGUCGUAUACGACGGUUGGGGUUGANGANCGCAGCACGCCUUCAUGGCCGGGGUUCGCCCACGUACGUGCUUAGGAUGUUGGCAUAAUGGCUUUAAGCGACCC